rnacentral:miRNA from 45 species
UUCACAGUGGCUAAGUUCCGC